GGUAAAAUNGCUGAGUAAGCAUUAGACNGUNAAUCUAAAAACAGAGGUUCGAGCCCUCUUUUUGCCA
rnacentral:tRNA from 1 species